rnacentral:rRNA from 1 species
AUUGAACGCUGGAGGCAGGCCUAACACAUGCAAGUCGAGCGAGCGGCGGAGGGGUGAGUAAUGCCUGGGAAUUGCCCAGUCGAGGGGGAUAACAGUUGGAAACGACUGCUAAUACCGCAUACGAUUGGAUUGCCCAGGUGGGAUUAGCUAGUUGGUGAGGUAAUGGCUCACCAAGGCGACGAUCCCUAGCUGGGCUGAGAGGAUGGUCAGCGACACUGGAACGUAGAAACGGGCCAGACGCCUCCGGUAGGCAGCAGUGGGGAAUAUUGCACAAUGGGGGAAACCCUGUUGCAGCCAUGCCGCGUGUGUGAGGAAGGCCUUCGGGUUGUAAACCCCUUUCAGCGAGGAGGCGUUACUCGCAGAAGAAGCACCGGCUAACUCCGUGCCAGCAGCCGCGGUAAUAC